CCUGGUGGCUCAGAGGGUAAAGCGUCUGCCUGCAAAGCAGGAGACCUGGGUUCGAUCCCUGGGUCAGGA
rnacentral:tRNA from 1 species